AGAGUUCGAUCCUGGCUCAGGAUAAACGCCGGCGGCGUGCCUAAUACAUGCAAGUCGAACGGAGGUAGCAAUACCUUAGUGGCGAACGGGUGAGUAACACGUUGGUAACCUGCCCCUAGGACCGGAAUACCAGGCGGAAACGCUUGCUAAUGCCGGAUGUUGCCCCGGAGACGAAAGUCACCGGGAUGAAAGGCGGCAAUUGCCGCGCCAAGGGAUGGACCUGCGUCGCAUUAGCUAGUUGGCGGGAUAAAGGCCCACCAAGGCGAGGAUGCGUAGCCGAGCUGAGAGGCUAAACGGCCACAUUGGGACUGAGACACGGCCCAGACUCCUACGGGAGGCAGCAGUAGGGAGUAUUUGGCAAUGGGGGAAACCCUGACCGAGCAACGCCGCGUGCGCGAUGAAGGCCUUCGGGUCGUAAAGCGCUGUGAUUCGCUGGGAAACCCAGAGGGAGUGGAAAGCCCUCUGGCUGACCGGCCUAUUAGAAAGCAACUGCUAACUACGUGCCAGCAGCAGCGGUAAUACGUAGGUUGCAAGCGUUAUCCGGAAUUAUUGGGCGUAAAGAGUGAGCAGGCGGCUUUGCAAGCCGGGGGUCAAAUGCGGCAGCUUAACUGCCGUUCGUCCCCGGAACUGCAUGGCUAGAGUGCUGGAGAGGCAAGCGGAACUCCUCAUGUAGCGGUGAAAUGCGCAGAUAUGAGGAAGAACACCAGUGGCGAAGGCGGCUUGCUGGACAGUAACUGACGCUCAGUCACGAAAGCGUGGGGAGCAAAUAGGAUUAGAUACCCUAGUAGUCCACGCCGUAAACGUUGAGGACCAGGUGCCGGGGGCAUACCUCGGUGUCCGAGCUAACGCAUUGAGUCCUCCGCCUGGGUACUACGUUCGCAAGAAUAAAACUUAAAGGAAUUGACGGGGGCCCGCACAAGCAGUGGAGCAUGUGGUUUAAUUCGUGGCUACGCGGAAAACCUUACCUGGGUUUGACAUCCCUGUAAAGGACCUAGAGAUAGGUAGAUAGUUAUACAGGUGAACGGUGGUGCAU
rnacentral:rRNA from 1 species